GCAGGCAUGAGAAACAAAUUUUAUUAAUAGUAUAAUAACAGUACUAUUAAGACUCUUUUAUAUUUAAUUUGAGGACAUGUAACAUCUUCACAUCAGUAAAACCAGCUAAUUUACACUAAUAUAGUGGGAUAAAAUACUAUUAGGUAUUUUAUAGAGUAUCUUUUUUCACAAUACUCAUAUGUAGUAGGUGAUAUUCUACAUUUAUCAAUGAAAAAACAAGGCAUUAAGAUGUCAUAAACACUGUGAACUCAGUUUCAUAUUUUAAAAAUCUGACAAGAGACCGUAUGAUCUAAAUUUCAACAAGAUACCAUCUCCAAAUUACAUGUUUAUUUUAAACCUACUCACUAAUUCUUCAGCAAUUAAUGCAGACUAAAAUCAUUAUGACUAAAAAUAGUAUAUUUGUCUUUAUAUAGCAGAACCAAAUUAAUUAAUCUGUUGCCUAUUGUUAGAAUUUUUUUAAUGUUUGGUUAUCCAAAAUAUAUGUUGAAUGUUCUUUCAUGUCAUAAAUUUCUACAGAUAUUUCCUUGACUGCUAGAAGUAGAAUUUGGGACAAAACAAUCAUACCUUUACUAAUUACCUACAGCAUGCCAGAUCCUGCAAUUAAAGUAUUUGAGGUGAUAGACUAAAAUGACAUAGUUUCUAAAGUGUCUCAUAAUGUAGUAAGAUAACCUCUCAACAGGAAUAAAUGUAUUAAGGAUUAGGGGCUGCUAACAAGACAUAACCUGGAAAUUUGAUGUAGUGAUGUCAUUCUUAUUACAGUUACCAUGAUCAGAUCUUAAUUAAAUUAAGCCUAACUGAUGAGAUGGGAUGAAGGGAAGGAAUUUAUGCUGUAAGUUAUACCUUACAUUUUUUAUUCUAAUGAUGUUGGAUGCAAAGUGAGAGUAAUGGGCUAAUUUAGCCGAUAUCUGGAGUGUAUCAUGACUAACACAGAGAGAAAUAUUUCUGUAAAGAAGAUCUGAAAAAGGAUGUAGAAAUGAGUCCAACAUCAGUUUUUAUUAGACUCUACUCAAGGACAUCCCCAUUUUAUAGACAGAAAUCCACAUGCAUGAACAUAAUGGUUUUAAUAAAUGGAACUUUUUUUUGGAGGAUAGCUUUCUAUUAAAACAUAAAAAAUGUUUACACACCUAUAUAUUUCAAGUAAGGCAU
rnacentral:lncRNA from 1 species